rnacentral:rRNA from 1 species
AACGAGCGCAACCCUUGCCUUUAGUUGCCAGCAGUUCGGCUGGGCACUCUAAAGGGACUGCCGGUGUUAAACCGGAGGAAGGUGGGGAGUGACGUCAAGUCCUCAUGGCCUUUAUGACCAGGGCUACACACGUACUACAAUGCCGAUACAAAGGGCAGCGACACUGCGAGGUGAAGCCAAUCCCGUAAAAUACGGUCUCAGUCCGGAUUGGAGUCUGCAACUCGACUCCAUGAAGUUGGAAUCGCUAGUAAUCGUGGAUCAGCAUGCCACGGUGAAUACGUUCCCGGGCCUU